UGCUUUCAGUUAAUUUACAAGUCCGGUGUACGAAUUUAUCCGUGGAUCACGCACCUUCAUAAAAGUCUAUUUGGAUUUGAAAUCUAUUCUUGAAUUAUCAUAUAAAAGAAUGUAUUAUGAUGGAUAAGAAUACAUGUCAUUAACCAUUUCAGAAUUGAUGGUGUAGCCAUACAAUAAAACUCAAACUAGUCAAAUGAUUGAGUAGUUAGACGAUUCAUGAGCAAAAUCAUGAAGACCAACUCACCCUAACUAUACAGUCUAUAUAGAUUAAAUAAAACUAAAGAGCGAAAUAUAAGAGAGUCAAGCUCAUUCUCAAAAAAAAAAAAACAUACAAGAGAGUCUAAAUAAAUUCAUCUAAAACUAAAUGUCUGAACUUGACAUGUUAAAUUUGGUAUACC
rnacentral:lncRNA from 1 species